AGGCUGAGGCAGAGAGAAACUGCUAGCAGCCACCAUGACAAGCCACAUGUGAAGACGCUGGUAAGCCACCAGCCACGUGGCAAGAUUUUUAAGACCUCAAACUGGAUGUGGAAGGAGAUGAAAGCCUGCUAAGAGGAAGACCAAAUGCUUGAAUCCUUGAUUUGGACUUUCCAUGAUCUUUUGACACCCUUGCCGCUCAGCUCCUCUUCUACAAAAUACAAACAGUAGAACAUUUCUAUAGCCUGACUGUGUUACUCAGAUCAUGAAGACCUUUCAUGAAGCAAGUUAAGAAGCAUCUCUCCAUUCCUUGCUCACUUCUGAAGUCUCUUCCUCUAACUACAGCUAGGAAGCCUGCUCCACUUUUACAUCAUGCCCAUGGAGUUAACCUAGGAUAAAAAUUCCCAUCUUACAGUUCAUAUCUCAAUCCUUUUUUACUACAUAAAGUAACGUGUCUUCAAUGCUAAGGACCAUUGCUCUUCCUACCACCUCAGCCAAGGAUUGGAAAUGAAAAAAAAAAAAAAUGGUCAAGUUAUAAAUAAAUAAAUGUGGCAGCAAACAGGAAAAUGUCUUCAUUCUGUUAUAUCCUGAAGGCUAUCCCCAUGUAUAAUUGCUUUUAUCCUGAUAAUCUGAAAAUGUCAUUGUUUUUCAGAAUUCCUUUUACGAGAUAAACAAGUGAGUGUAGCAGCAGAUAGAUAUGUGCUAGAAAAUGUAAGGAUCAUAUGUAAGAUGUAAGAAAUUGUUUUAGUCAUCUCCUUGAAGAAGAACUAUUGGCUAGGUGUUUUUCUGAAAAA